rnacentral:rRNA from 1 species
AGUGAACGCUGGCGGCAGGCCUAAUACAUGCAAGUCGAACGGCAGCACAGUGGAGCUUGCUCCAUGGGUGGCGAGUGGCGGACGGGUGAGGAAUACAUGGGAAUUUGCCCCGUCGUGGGGGAUAACGUAUGGAAACGUACGCUAAUACCGCCUGCGCCCUUCGGGGGAAAGUCGGGGACCGCAAGGCCUGACGCGAUUGGAUGAGCCCAUGUUUGAUUAGCUAGUUGGCGGGGUAACGGCCCCCCAAGGCGACGAUCGAUAGCUGGUUUGAGAGGAUGAUCAGCCCCCCUGGAAAUGAGACACGGUCCCGACUCCUACGGGAGGCAGCCGUAGGGAAUAUUGGACAAUGGGCGCAAGCCUGAUCCAGCCCUGCCGCGUGAGUGAAGAAGGCCCUCGGGUUGUAAAGCUUUUUUGUUGGGGAAGAAAAGCAGUUGGUUAAUACCCGAUUGUUUUGACGGUACCCAAAGAAUAAGCACCGGCUAACUUCGUG